GAUGAACGCUGGCGGCGUGCCUAAUACAUGCAAGUCGAGCGAACGGACGAGAAGCUUGCUUCUCUGAUGUUAGCGGCGGACGGGUGAGUAACACGUGGAUAACCUACCUAUAAGACUGGGAUAACUUCGGGAAACCGUAGCUAAUACCGGAUAAUAUUUUGAACCGCAUGGUUCAAAAGUGAAAGACGGUCUUGCUGUCACUUAUAGAUGGAUCCGCGCUGCAUUAGCUAGUUGGUAAGGUAACGGCUUACCAAGGCAACGAUGCAUAGCCGACCUGAGAGGGUGAUCGGCCAAACUGGAACUGAGACACGGUCCAGACACCUACGGGAGGCAGCAGUAGGGAAUCUUCCGCAAUGGGCGAAAGCAUGACGGAGCAACGCCGCGUGAGUGAUGAAGGUCUUCGGAUCGUAAAACUCUGUUAUUAGGGAAGAACAUAUGUGUAAGUAACUGUGAACAUCUUGACGGUACCUAAUCAGAAAGCCACGGCUAACUACGUG
rnacentral:rRNA from 1 species